rnacentral:rRNA from 1 species
UACAGAGGUCCCAAGCGUUGUUCGGAUUCAUUGGGCGUAAAGGGUGCGUAGGUGGCGCUGUAAGUCGGGUGUGAAAUCCUGAGGCUUAACCUCGGAACUGCAUUCGAUACUGCGGCGCUUGAGGACUGGAGAGGAGACUGGAAUUCAUGGUGUAGCAGUGAAAUGCGUAGAGAUCAUGAGGAAGACCAGUGGCGAAGGCGGGUCUCUGGGCCGAUACUGACGCUGAGGAGCGAAAGCGUGGGGAGCGAACAGG